rnacentral:misc_RNA from 1 species
GCUCGUGAUAGAGUUCAAGCUCUUCAGGCAUACUAUCAACAACCUGGAAAUUCUACAGCAACACGUGCACCCAUUAUUUCUGGAACCCGAAGAUCCAGCAGUCACAGAGGAGGUUUGUCUCAACUAGGAGCGGUGGCCUCAUCAUCAGAUCAAACUGGGUUCUAUUUCAUCCCACCCGGUACAUCAGGUCGUAACUACCAAGAAGCAGAAAAUCAUCCACCAACUCGAUUUCGGGCAUGGGAAAGGGAUCACUUGCCUGCAUUCUCAUUAAGUCAAGUUGACAGAGAAUCAAAUUGGGUUGCAUUUCAUCAGGCUGCAGGUGCAUCAGAUGGUGGCAUCAGAUCGGGCAGCUUUCGCCAAAGGCAUGGAUCUGAGAGAA